rnacentral:rRNA from 1 species
AAAUAGCCGCAGUAUUUUGACUGUGCGAAGGUAGCAUAAUCAUUUGUCUUUUAAUUGAAGGCUUGUAUGAAUGGUUGGAUGAGGGAAUUUCUUUCUUUAUAUUAAAUAUUGAAUUUAAUUUUUUAGUUAAAAAGCUAAAAUUUAUAAUGGGACGAGAAGACCCUAUAGAAUUUUAUUUAUUAAUUUGUAAAGAUAAUUUUGGUUAUAUAUUUUUUAUAUAGAUUAAUAAUUUUGUUGGGGCGACAGUGAAAUUUUAUUAACUUUCAUAAUUUAUUGUUUACUAAUUUGUAUUUUAAAGAUCCUAUUUUAAGGAUAUUUAGAUUAAAUUACCUUAGGGAUAACAGCGUAAUUUUUCUGGAGAGUUCUUAUUGAUGGAGAAGUUUGCGACCUCGAUGUUGGAUUAAAAUUAGAUUUAA